rnacentral:tRNA from 2 species
CCGCGGUGAUCGUUGAUGGGAAAGCAGUCGACUGACAGUCGACUCUACCCAUCGGCAAUCCGACAAACGGAUCAACGCCGUGCACCACGGA